UACGUAGGGGGCAAGCGUUUGUCCGGAAUCAUUGGGCGUAAAGAGCGCGUAGGCGGCCCUGUAAGUCCGCUGUGAAAGUCAAGGGCUCAACCCUUGGAUGCCGGUGGAUACUGCAGGGCUAGAGUCCGGAAGAGGCGAGUGGAAUUCCUGGUGUAGCGGUGAAAUGCGCAGAUAUCAGGAGGAACACCGAUGGCGAAGGCAGCUCGCUGGGACGGUACUGACGCUGAGGCGCGACAGCGUGGGGAGCAAACAGG
rnacentral:rRNA from 1 species